rnacentral:lncRNA from 1 species
GUCCUUGCAGAUUUGCCAUGUCUGACUGGUGGGAAGUCCAUGUUUUUCUGGGGACGACUUGAAUUUUGGAAGCCUCUGGCAGACAGAUGGGGAAUGGUUCCUCAUCCGUAUCCACGGACAGUUCAAGUAUCUGUGACAAGUUCCCAUUCACUAUUUCCGUUGCGUUUCAUGAACACCUGAAGCACUAAACACAGAGUUCAUAGUCCAUUGGAAAGGUGGCCGAGCAUGAUCAGCAUGAACAGGCCUAAGAGGGAGUCCAGGCCCUAUGAAUUCCUUCUUCACCACCAGUGUAAGUUUGAGAAAAUAAUAAAUAUUUGGUAGCAACUGAAAUAUUAAUGUGUAUAUAAGUUAUCCCAGU